UUUUUUUUUCCUGUUUAGGGGAUGUGAUUUUGUCGGUUGCUCUAUGCAGUAUUUCCAUCCUGACCACAUGUCAUCGGCUGAGAAGAUGAAGCUGGAGCUGAAGAGGGUAAGGGACCAGUUCAAAAUGUCGGAGAAUGACUGUGGUUCUGCAAGAGUUCAAGGUAAUCUCUUGACCUUCCAUAACCGUAGAUCUAUGAGCUUCUGAUUCUAAGGGUCAAUCAGAUGACAAUGGUGUGAUUGCUGUUCUAUUAAAAGAAUCAGGUCUUACCUCGGAUAUCUAGCGCCAAAUAUUGGAACUUUGGAAGUGAAGUUUGUCCCUUUAUGCUGCUAACUGCCUAUAUUGUCGUGCUUAGAAGUUGUAACAUAUAUUUCUGUUUGCAUUCUAAGUCUAGAAAUUGUGAUAGUUUCUUGGUAGCUAGGUGGGGGCUGACUAACACGCUUCGACGAUAUGCAAGGCUUUGUAAGGCUUGCUUUUGUGAAAUAAAGGUACUCCCUCUGAUUCCAAAUGUAGGUUGUUUAGGACAUCGAUACGGUCUCCAAUAUGGUACUUUGACUGGUAGGUUUUGUAAAACUAAACUAAAAAUAGAGAAAGUUAUAUGCUAUGAAAGUAUUUUUCAUGAUGAAUCUAUUAACGUCAACCAUGUGUUGCCAAUCUAUGUAUUUUUCAUUUAUUGAACAGCCAAGUUAAAAAAUAAGUUUGACCAGCUAGAAUCCUAAAACGACCUACAUUUGGAAUUGGAAGGAGCAUUAUGAAAUCCGAUUGAUUUGAUUAAUUUCGUGUAACAACCAUAAGUAUUUUGGAUUUUUAAUAAUUUUUGCUGCUUUUCCUACUAUAAACUUCUAGCUCUGUUUAUUUUGUCAGUUGGCAGUGGUUAGUUUUUUUUCCAUUGACUAUUUUCUUUUGAAUAUAUUAAGGAGGUACAUAAUAGCCAGCAGAUCAGAAAUGAUGAUAAUCAAUUAAUCAUCCACAUUAUUUGUAAUUGUGUUUUGACCUGACGUGUAUUGUCCUUUCCUUUUGUUGUCCUUAGUGCCAAAGUUUUUUCCCCCUAGCCACUAUAAAACCCUACAAAGCUUCAUCUGUUCUACCUUUACAUGCGUAAUUAGUAUCAAGUUUUGCGCUGCGCCACCCCCCCCCCCCCCCCAACACACACACACAUCCAACUACCUAACAUUUUUGUAGGUUCUGUAUCUGGAUCCUAGCUGAUUGUAUUCUCCAAACUUUGAAAGCCUUUUGUGUCUGGAUCCCAGUUACCCGUCAUCCUACAAAAUCCAAAGUAUUUCAUGUUCCUGCUUUUGGUUGCCAAAUUUGAUUAUUAAGUUGAAUUAUUUGGUAGAACUGUAGGAGCAAGUGACAUUGGAUGAUUUAUUUUUUGGGAACUUUGAGGUAUCUAUGAUAAGUAAGGUUUUUGUGUUCCUGGGAGCACAUGCACACCAGAACCACACCAUUAAAUAUGCACCUGUUUUUUUUUAUUCACAAUAGAAAUCUCAACUGGUCCAGCACAUCACCUGGCUUUAAAAGUAUAUAUUACAGAAAUACUUUUUUUUGCUAUUGGACUAACAACCUUCAGUAUAACUAAUUUAUAAAUAUGAACGUCCAAUUGUAUCUUAUGCUUCAGACUAGCUUUAAUAUAUAUCUGUUUGAAUGUACUUCUGCUCAUGUUCUACUUCUAGUUAUGUAAAAUAUUCCUCUUUAAUUAGGAUCAUGUUGCAACUGAGCCUCAUCUAUGUUUUGCAGUAGCACAACUCACUACAAAAAUCAAACAUUUGUCAGCUACUCUACAUAAGAAGGUAAGUUUACAAACACAUCUAUAUUUUUUUAGUGGCAUACAUUCGUAGCUGGUGAUGAUUUUGUUGGACUUAACUGAUGAUGAAAGUAAUAUGUGGCUUUAAUGUGAUGCAGGACAAGCAUUCUAGAAAGGGACUGCAAGAGAUGGUCCAAAGGAGGAAGAAAUAUCUCAAGUACUUGCGUAGAACCGACUGGGAUUCGUACUGCCUAGUGUUGAAAAGCUUAGGGCUCCGUGAUGUGCCGGAAUACAAGGCCCCAGAUUACAAGAGCAAGAGCAACACCAAGUCCAAAACCAAGAAAAAGAGUAAAAGAAAGAUGAAGGCAUAAUCAUUUCCUCGGCUUUUAACAUCAUGACCAGAAUUGGUAGUUGAGUACGUGCCCAGGCCCUGUAUAUGUCAGCACCUUUUUCCGAUCUCAACUUGCUGCUCUUUCAUGAGAAAAGUUUGUUUUGAUUCGAUUGCCUUUCGCUCUUAUAUAUUGCAGCCCCCUUGUAGCAAUUGUUUUGGACCUUCUCCAAAUUGCUGUGAGUGCUUCCCUUAGUUCUGUUAUGUGAGCUCGAAAAACUAUUGUUUACAGUUGAGGAACAAGCUAAUAAUAACAAGAGUUGAUGCUGAGAUCGUCUCAUUAUUUUGAAUAUUCUUUAUCAUUGGCGCCCGGAAAGAAUGAUAGUCCAAGACAAUGUAUGCUCCUAUGCUGUAACUUGUAAGGCCAGUUUCUGCAAACAAAGAAUGCAGGCCAAGAAGGCAAGAAGCAAAGCUGAUUGACAGGAAUUGUACGAAGUGUUGAAGGGGCAGCUUUAACGUGAUGAGCUGGACAUCAUUUUAGAGAAGGUAGACCAAAAGGCAGAAUCUGAAUUCACGGAUAGAUGGACCAAAAGGAAGAGAUGUAUGAAAGGAGCAGCACCUCUGUUUGACUGAAUUCUCCAUCUUAGAAUUGCCCUCUAUUUUUGAGUUAGCUCGCCACUGUUUUCGAGCAUCUUUAUCAUCAUUCGAGUCCUACCUAAUUAGCAAGAACAGUAGUAGCAAGGAUAUGCAUGUUGUCUGAUCACAGUGAUCUGAUAAAACCUCCUUUAGUACUAAAACUAAAGCUUGAAUCUUGUAAUCUACAUCAUUCAUCCUCAAUGACACUUGAGAUAUAAAUUAUAGUAGUCAAGUAUAUUCUACUAAUGAUAUAAACUUGUGCUGUGAAUGGCAUAAAAAUUUUAUUGACUAGAGUAAGCAAAAAAUCAAACUGACUUCUUGCUCUUAGUAACAAAUUUUGUUCAGAUCUACUCGUCAUCAUCUUGAUAGUAUGGGGGUGUUUGGAUUCUCGGGCUAAACUUUAGUCCCUGUCACAUCGAAUGUUUAGAUACUAAUUAGGAGUAUUAAACAUAGACUAUUUACAAAAGCCAUUGCACAGAUGGAGGCUAAACGGCGAGACGAAUCUAUUAAGCCUAAUUAGUCCAUGAUUUGACAAUGUGCUGCUAUAGUAACCAUUUGCUAAUGAUGGAUUAAUUAGGCUUAAUAGCUUCGUCUCGCCGUUUAGCCUCCAUCUGUGUAAUUAGUUUUAUAAUUAACUCAUAUUUAAUCCUUCUAAUUAGCCUCCAAAUAUUCGAUGUGACACGGAUUAAACUUUAGCUUCAGGAUCCAAACACCCCCUGCAUGAAUAAACCAUAUAUGCUGUUCCUCAGCAGCUGCAGCCUGCAGUCAGCAUAUUUGAGAUGCCUCUCCGGGUGCAAGCAUUUAAUGCAAAUGAGAGUAUGAGACUGAAGGGAAUUUGCUAGUCGCUAUAAUAUACUACCUGGCUGUGAAGCUGCCAUAGCUUAAUCCUUUACCCUCUCAGCCCGCUAAGAGCAAGGCCAAUAGUAAAGACAAGGUCUUGUCUAUAGCCAAGCCAUGUAAUGAUGUAAGCAAUCUAAGAGCUAACCCAUACAACAACCAUGCAUGUUAUGCCUGUCUAUAAUUCCUCUUGUAGUCUUGUUCACUGCCACGCCAUGAUGAGGCAGUUCAAGCGGGGCUCGUGAUAUGGUCGAUUAGCUAAGCACCUGCAUCAGCGACCACCUUGCCUUCUUUUCCUUUUUCUUAGUCCUCCAGCUCAGUUAGCAGCGUGACAUUACGACUGUUAUUGUACUUGCUCUAAUGGUUGGUUGGGGUUAAGAAAAGUUGAUUAACAUGGAGGUUAUAUGGCUCCAUUUCCAGAUCUCAACUCUCAGUUUCGUGCUAAUGUUCGAUCGGCACAUGCUUCUGAUGCGUGUAUGUAACUACUAACUAGGGUCUGUUCAAAACUUCAUGUUGAGAUCCAAGCGAAGCUGCGCAUCCAACCGGCCGCCCGCAGCUCGCCGGUCGGUGCGCAUGGCGUCGGAGUGCAGCAGCCGUGAGCGGAAUAUGGAUACUUUACGUGCGCAUGUGACUGCAUGGGCUAUCCGAACCAUUUGUUUUUGAAUUAGAGGUGAAUCAACAGUUGGAUGUGUUUCGCCAUAAGAACACUACAGGUGAGUUACGCUCAGUUCACUAGAUCCGUCCCGUUUUCUAGUAGCGGAUGUAAGGCAGCAACACGGUCAUAGGAAAAACGAUGUGGUGCUUCGUUUUCUUUUCCCUAGAUAUGGAAUAUUUCUUGGAUAUUUGGCUGAUGUGCAAAUCUACACCAUUUGUAAUUACAAAUUUAUAACCUAAGAUAAUUAUUGAUACAUAUUUUUUUCUCUUUCGCCACGGCUAAAAAAGGUCUUGAGAGCGUGGUAGGUAAGGUGACUCAGUGAACCAAUAGACGGAGCUGGCAAACAAAAUCUCUCUAUGUCAUUUUUGGGAAUACUCUCUCAAUUUCAAGUUAUAAUUCGCUUUAUCCUUUAUCGUCCAAAGUCAGUUUUUUUAAUCAUGCAUUUAUUUGGCACUAUAUAGAUGACAUUUCUGUCAAUCUUGUGUAAAGCCGUCGCAAAUCUUCAAAACCUCAUUUUUAUAGCCCUGGUGAUGAGUUUCCAAUUAGUGUUCUGUGCGAACCAUCUUCAAGCACGCCUCCAACACCUUAAGUCCCGGUGAUGCCAACCUUUGAGCACCAAAGAUUAUGGUCAGUGGCAGAGGCAAGAUUCAAAAUUAGGGCGGGGCUUUCCUCCUCCUCCUCUAUCGUCACCUCUUCCUAUUUUUCUUCGUCCUUUUCCUCUCAUCUCCUCAUCUUCUUCCUUUGGUUCCAGUGGACGGGGCUAGGGGGGUGGAUCAUACUUGAACAUUGCGCUGUUGCCACUAUAAAUUCAGCGGAUAGUGUCUAAUGCCCUAUUUUAAGUGGCCGAUACUUGUUCUUGGGCAAAAACAAAAGGAAAGAAAGAAAAACUCCAAUCCAAACAUCCUUGAGUUUUGGCACUUCCUCUUCGAUUCCUUGGGCUUCGAAUGAACUAUCUAGUGCUGCUAGAUUUUACAAUUGCGCAUCACACCUACCCACAGACACGCUACAUCGAAGCUACUACCUGCUUUCGUCCCCCUAAUAGUACGGCCAAAAGAAGAAAAAAACAAAGAUCUAGAAGUAGAGUGUCCUUAUUCUUUUCGCACAUCUUUUGCACAAAUAUCGUUCGAUGAUGGGGUUGAUCACCAAAGCUCUAUGGCAUACGUAGCAUCCAUGAAAAGAUGAAGUACGACUACUCCUUAUCCGGUGCGUAGGUACUAAGAAGCAAGAGGAUGGAACAAGUGUUAUGUUAGUCAAAAAGCUAAUAAGGAAGUAAAUUUUGCUUUCAUUUCUUCCUCUCAGCAGCACAGCACCUACCAAAUUAAACAAAAGGAGCCAUACUUCUUUUUGAUGGAAUGGGCCAUAAUUCUGACAACUCACCCAGGAUGACAAGAGGAGCCAAAAUAUGUUGAGCUAUAGAUCACCCUUUAGGACGUAUUUUUAUUUUUGGAACUGAGAAAUCCGUCAAUGUCUCCUGCAGAUCUGGGAAUGACACGGGAGGUCAAACAGCAUGAGCUCAUGCCUUUUUUAGCACAAAAUCCUCCAAAAUUUAAAAAUCCUCUAACACCUCUUCUAAAUCCAGAACGAGUAGGAAGGCGGAGAAAUAGGAGGUCCGUAUAUCGAGCACUCUGUUUCUCCUCACCUUUGUCCACAAAUCGUAACCUAUACGUAUAGUGUGAAUGUGAGCACCUAAAGUCUUGAGUGAGUGGCAGCAGAAAUGGAGCGGAGGACCCAAGGGUAAAAAGGUAUUUUCGCAUCAGUCUCCUGCCGGUAUGGAGUAUGCCACUACAAAGAUGUGUUUCAUCUAAAAAUAAAAGUCGAGGGACUUGAUCGAUUUAAAACAUGAAGGACGGACUCGACCCUUCAAGCAAAGUUUAGGAACCAAAACACGUAUUUUGCCAAUCAUAUAAGAACAUUAAUAACCAUCGGUUUCUAGCGAACACGCCUCGGGGGCAAAAAAAAAAAAAGAGGAACUAAUAUAAUUGGCUUUGAGCUCCAAAAUUUGACAAGAAGAGAAGUUGCGCUUUAAUUUCCUACGAAUAAAAAUAAAAUUAUACAAAAUUUGACUUAUUCAUCGAGCUGUGCAGCAGAUCAUAUAUUGGUUGAAUCAAUCGAAUGCAUCAUGACUUGAUGAGACGAUCGAGGCAGCAGGUAGCUAGGCCUCCUAAUGCUGCUGCUGCUGGUGGUCCUGGUCUGCCCCCGGCAGCGCCUUGGCUCCGAUGUUGAAGAACUCGAUGAUGACCUCGAGCGGGAAUCCCUUGGUCUCGGGCACCUUGAUGUAGACGAAGAUGAGGGCGAGGCAGCAGACGACGGCGUAGAAGCCGAAGACCCCCGCGAGGCCGACGGAGCUGAGCAUGACGGGGAGCGAGUAGGUGACGGCGAUGUCGCCGAGCCAGAAGGUGAGCGAGCAGAUGGCGAUGCAGAGCCCCCUGACGCGCGUGGGGAAGAUCUCGGCGCAGAGGAUGUUGGGGAUGGGGCCGAACCCCAUGACGAAGCAGCAGAAGUAGACGAUGACGCUGCCCGUGGAGAGCGCGGCGUGCAGGGUGGUGGCCAUGGGCAGCACGUUGGCGACGAUGAGCACCAGCAGCGACGCGAUCAGCACCGGGAUGGUGGAGAGCAGCAGGCUCCGGCGCCCGGACACGUCCAUGAGGCGCAUGGCCAGGCCGAUGCUGGGGAGCAUCAGCAGCGUCGUAAGGCCGCUGAUGAGGAUGGAGGUGGAGUCGGCGCUCAGGCCCAGGCUCGCCAGGAGGACGCUCACGCCGGCCUGGUCAAGGAUCUGGGGCGUGUAGUACAGCACACCAUUGAUGCCCGAGAACUAUUCCAUUCCAUUGUUGGUUGCGUUGCAUGGCAUGGCAUUGCAUUGCGUCGUCGUACGUCCAAAACGAAACGAAACGUUCAUCAUUAGUUUGUGAUGAUGAUGAAACAAAACAGAACAGAACAAUUACCUGCUGCAAGAUCUGGAUCAUGACUCCGCAGAAGAGCGCUCGCCGCACGCCCGGCGCGAGGAGCUCGCGCCACCGAGGCCCCGCCGCGGCCGCCUUGCUGGCCACCGUCUCCGGCGGGUUCUCGAAGGCAGGGGUGGGGCUCUGCCCGAUCAUCACGUCCUUGGUGUAGAGCAUCGACCGGCUCACCAGCGCCGCCGCGUGCACGUACUCGCCGGGUCCCGACUCGCCGCCGCCGCCGUCCUCGUGCAGAUACAUCCUCUUCACGGCGCCGCGCUUCACGCCGUCGGGCCCCACCUUCUCCGUCCACUUCCACGCCAGCUGCCACCCGCCGCCGAUGCCCAUGGUGCUCGCCGUCUCCCCGCCGCCCGUCAUGCUGCUGUACCGCUGCAUUCCGUCCUGCUUCCUGCCCGUCUCCACGUCGGUGCUCUGCCUCGACAGCAGCGGCGCCUGCAGGGCUCCAGAACUACCACCGCCUGCCUCCUCGUCGGAGAGGUACUCCUCCUCCUCCUCCUCGUCGAGGUCGUCGUUGGGCGGCACGUUCUCCUCGUCCCAGUCACCGGGGCGCUCCGCCACGCUGAGCAUGCUGCCGAGGUUGGGGAAGAGCGUGCUGCCGCGCGCGCUGCUGCCGGGGCCGGCGCCGGCGUCGGGCAUCUUCUCGUGGACGCUCCCGAGCAGCGUGACGACGGGGUCCUUGAGCUGCUCGUACAUGCUGCCCUGGCGCGACGCGAGCUCGACGGCGCUGCCGAGCACGCUGCCCUGCUGCACCUGCUGCGCCACCCACGAUAGGCCCUGCUCGGGGCCGUACAGGGUCACCUGCUGCUGCUGCUCCCCGCCGCCGGUGGUCUCGUUCUCCGCCGUGUCCGCCGCCGACGCGGCCGGGCCGAGCACGUACUCCUCGAUGACGGUGUCGCCGCCGCUGCCGAGGCCCUCGACGAGGAGCGCCAUCUCGCCGGAGACGUCCUCGCGGCCGCGAAGCAUCUGGAGGAUGGCCCUGGCCUCCUUCAUGCGGCCCUUGGUGACGAGCCAGCGCGGCGACUCCGGAAGGUAGAGGACGGUGAGGGCGAGGUAGGCGAGGGAGGGCAGGGAGAGGACGCCGAGCAUGAAGCGCCAGCUGGGGCUGGGCGCCAGCGUCAUGUAGAAGAUCAUGCAGUAGGAGAAGAACAUGCCGAAGGAGCCCGUGAACUGCGGCAGCGUGUUGAGCAGGCCGCGGAUCUCCGGCGGCGCCGUCUCGGAGAUGUAGACGGGGACCAGCGUCACGGCCAGGCCGACGCCGAAGCCGUCGACCAGGCGCGCCAGGAGGAGGACCACCACGUUUGGGGACCACAUCAUGAUGAGGCCGCCGGCGAAGUAUAGAAGCGAGGAGGCGAUGAGCAUGGGGCGGCGGCCGACGUUGUCGGAGACGGGGCCGGAGAAGGUGGUGAUGAUGGUGGCGCCGAUGAGGGAGGUGGCGACGACGAGGCCCUCGAGGGCGGGCUGCGUCUCCAGGUGGAACUCGCGCUUGAUGUAGAGGACGGCGCCGGCGAUGGUGGCGUUGUCCCAACCCUGGAGCAUGUUGCCGAUGGCGGCCGCGAUGGCCACCAGCACCGCGCCCUGCAUGGCCGGCGGCGACCUCUGAAAGAAUAGAUUGGUUGGCUGGUUGGGACGAAAGAGCUAGCCAGGUAAAGAAGAUAUGAUGUGGUUAACAAAAUGAAGUGAAAAACGGAUUCGAUCGGAGCAGUUAGAGGAGGCUACGAUCCGAAAUUCUUGCUCCAUCAGGAUACGACCCCGUCCGUUCCCUCCGCGCUUUGCGCUCAGGUUGGUCUCUGCCUCUCCCCGUCGUCGUAUUGAGUUCGGACGUGACUCCCGGCUUCCUGCCAACGUGGCAGAACCGGCAGGGCCGUAGAUUGUGUGGCGCAAGUGAAGCGACACGCGCAGGGCGCCACCCAAAUUAGUUGUAUUAGUUAAUCUCCAUCUAUUUCCUUGCCUCCUUGAUGAAUGAUAUAGUUAGCAGACAUGCGGCCUUACCUUUCUUUUAACUCGUCCACAAAAUCUCAAAGCAUACUUGCUUUCCUUUUUUUUUAUUCUUCACGAAUAAACUCCAGUCUAUAAUCUCUACCUAAGGAGGAAGCAAUCCUUCGACCUUCUCCAGAUUUUUUGUCAAUCCGCACGCGGAUCGUGGACCGGUGGGACUUGCCGAUACCGAGCCGAAUCGAGCUCUUCGCGUGCAUGCCAAGGAGGCAAGGAGCGUCAUUCUACAUUUAUAAAAUCGAAUAUGUGACCUCACGUCCUAACGUAAUCAAAUCACCGUAUCACCGAAGUAGACGUCGACUAGUCAACAUCAAUCUACACCAUCAUCAUCUCUCCGUCUCGCCGGAUUGCUCGUCGCGCGACGGAGGACCACCUGUAGGGGCCAUCCCUCGACUCACUUGCACUCGUCAAACGCGCAACGCAAAGGUCCACGGAGGGCGGCCUACUCAUCUUCGAGAGCACCAUCAUCAUCUCAUCCGUCUUCUACCGUUCAGCGUGCCGAUCGGCGGGUGCUUAGCCCACCGCUGGGGAAAGCGCCUUCAGUACCGGUUAGUACCAGUUGUGCAACCGGUAUUACUUGUUCGGUACUAAAGGGGGUCUUUAGUACCGGGUCAAUAAUCGUUAUUAGUGAGUGACCUUUAAUACCGGUUGGAGCUCCCAACCGGUACUAAAGGGGUCACGGAGAACUCCUGGUUAACUAGCCAUUAGUUGGCCUGGCGUGACUACAGCCACGUGGUGAGGGGGCCUUUCGUUCUGGGUGCUCAAGGAUGCAGGAGAUGGGCGAAAAGCUGGUGCCACCACACCACACACAGUUACACUGUUACAGCAGUACACAGUAGUACGGAGUACGUUGCUCCAUUUAUUACUACUCGGUUUUUAGCGCGGAGGACCCUCCACUGUCUCACUAUGUCCUGUCUCCUGUGGCGGAGCAAUUGAAUGAAGUACUCCCGCCGUCUAGAAAAAAAAUCAUGUAAAUUUUUAAUUAAUAAUAUAUAUAUAUGGCUCUAAAUCAAUUUAUUAUAAAAAUACAUUCCGUAAUUAAUCUUAUUUGAUAUUAUAAAUAUUGAUAAUUUUUUAUUUAUAUAAAAUUAGUCAAACUUAAGAUACUAAGACGUGACACUGUGGGCUAGAAUUGCAUUCUUUAGACUGUCUCCAAUAGGUGAUCCAUAAGGGCACCCAAACUCAAAAUGGGUCUCCGACAGUACUGUAUCGGUCUCCAACAAUCCAUUUUGGGUGUCAGGAGAGACACUACCUAAAUCUGAGUAUCCUCUCUCCUGAAGACCUAUUUGCAGAAAGGGUUCUUAUUUGGGUCUUAUUGUUGGACAAGACCAAAAAUGAGUAUUGAACCCUUUACCUGUAGCGCUACUCAAACGUGGAAUAUGUCUUGUAUUUGGGGUGCCAUUGUUGAAGAUAGUCUUAGAGGGCUCAACCGUAAUACUAAUCCGGACGCUGCCUGCUGCUGAACGUGUAGGGGAUCAGAAGCAUCAGCUUGAGCAUUCACUUCGUGAGGAAAAGCCGCCUGUGUGCUGCUGUCCUACCAAUCUACAGUACCAUCCUAGCCCAAACUCCUGUAGUCCUGUCGAUACACAGGCCUAGUAGGAGGAGGGACAUAAAUUGCAAUCCGACAAUUCAGUUCCUCACCCUAGAUCUAGCAGCUCACGAGCCACGACACAGCAUCGCUGCAGGCAUAUUUUCAAUUAAAAAUCUGAAUUUGAUUUGAAUAGUCGCAACUAAUUUCACACAAAGAAAGGACGACAUAGGAAUGAAAACGCUCUCGUGCAUGACCAAGUCCAAACAUGAAAGGAAAUACAUACAUUCAAUAUCAAUCCUAAUCUAGUUAGAGGCUUGGACUAGGGUUGACCCCACCAUAAGAUCGAGCUAGCUUAUCGCCAUGCAUUAAUGAGAAAUUUUGGACAAAAAAAAAGAAUCACGUCUUUCAACCUGGCGUUCUGGUUGUGGAAUGUCACACUAUUUAUACGGUUGGUAAAUGUGAGUAAUUUAGAUUCAAAAUUAGAGUUACGUUACAUUAUCUUCCAUAUUGAGGAGUCUACUGAGCUUGAACAAGAGAAGGAGAUUGACAAGGUUGCUGAGGUUGAUCAGAAGGAGGAAAAAGGAGUGAAGUUGAAGAACACAUAAAUGGAAGCUGCUAUCAGUGCUUUGUUAAGAACUGUGAUAGGAUCUAAAUGGCUAGAGGGGGGUGAAUAGCAUAUAAAAUUUACUUCAAAGCACUAGAGCAACUUGAUUAGUAAAUAAGUUUCCUUCUUCAAUCCUGGAAAGUUUGUGCUAUCAAAUACUUAUUUUAUCACAUGUACCCAUCUUUUUUCUGUAAAAAAAUAAUAUAAAUAAACGCAAUAAAUCACUGGCAUGGAAUAACAUGAAGAUCAACUCUUGAGUUCAAGUGAAAUUGUGUAAACAAACCUUUAGAUCUUUAUUGCUCAACUUUCGGAUGGCCUUUAAAGCCAUCUCUUUAGUUCUGAAAUUAAUAAAAGCAUAUGUCUUGUUAUCCCCCUUUCCUCGCAUUCGCACCUGCAGAAAAAAAGGGACUCUGAAUUGCAGAAGAAAAGAAAUGCAAAAACUAAACCAGAGAAAGUAGGCACUACUCACUUCCACAACUUCUCCAACAGAUUCAAACAGUCGUUUGAGAUCUUUAGAAGAUACAUCAGAGGAGAGCCCCCCAACAUAAACUUCAGCUCCAUGAGGAAGAGAGCAUGCUUCUCUUUUUCAUUCUCAUCCUUCGGAUCAUCAUCCACCAUUUUACUGUCAUGAUUAGCAUCAACUUCACGCACACCUUCAAUUUUUUCAUCCUCCUCGUCCUCCUCCUCCUCAUCAUCAUCAUCAUUAUCAUCCUCUACCUCUUCAUACUCAACCUCCUCCUCAAUUUCUUCGUACUCAACUUCUUCCUCUUCCAUCUACCUCGUCAGGAUCAUCAAACUCCAAUUGGUCUUGUUUGACCAAUUCAAUUGAUUUGGUCGAAGCAGCAUUUCCUGUUCUCCUUGGCAUCUUCCAAAGCUCAAAGUUCCAAGGAAACUUUGGAAAGAGCACAGGAACCAAUAAUAUUGGGGAGCAAAGUGAUAAUGUAUGGAUAGAAAGAAAAAAAUAACAGAAACAGCUAGAACAGAAGGUAUGUAAUAAUCUCAAACUGGAUUCAGCCAUGGGUAUCCACAUGGAAAAUGGAACCUCAAAGCAAGUGACUGUUAAGGGAUAAAUGCAGAGAAAGAAGAAUGCUCAGAUGGACACAGCAUGGAAGGUUUUCAAGAAUAUGAUAGCACCGUCAACAAGAGUAUGAAAAAGAGGACAAUCAAAGAAGAUGCGCUGCUAGAGGUGCGAUGUGUAUCGCGAUUGGGGUGUCAUUGCAUUGCAGAUUUGCAGUUGGCGUGGCGUGACUACAGCCACGUGGUGAGGGGGCCUUUCGUUCUGGGUGCUCAAGGAUGCAGGAGAUGGGCGAAAAGUUGGUGCCACCACACCACACACAGUUAAAUUGUUACAGCAGUACACAGUAGUACGGAGUACGCUGCUCCAUUUAUUACUACUCGGUUUUUAGCGCGGAGGACCCUCCACUGUCUCACUAUGUCCUGUCUCCUGUGACGGAGCAAUUGAAUGAAGUACUCCCGCCAUCUAAAAAAAAUCAUGUAAAUUUUUAAUUAAUAAUAUAUAUAUGGCUCUAAAUCAAUUUAUUAUAAAAAUACAUUUCGUAAUUAAUCUUAUUUGAUAUUAUAAAUAUUGAUAAUUUUUUAUUUAAUUAGUCAAACUUAAGAUACUAAAAUGUGAGACUGUGUGCUAGAAUUGCAUUCUUUAGACUGUCUCCAAUAGGUGAUCCAUAAGGGCACCCAAACUCAAAAUGGGUCUCCGACAGUACUGUAUCGGUCUCCAACAAUCCAUUUUGGGUGUCAGGAGAGACACUACCUAAAUCUGAGUAUCCUCUCUCCUGAAGACCUAUUUGCAGAAAGGGUUCUUAUUUGGGUCUUAUUGUUGGACAAGACCAAAAAUGAGUAUUGAACCCUUUACCUGUAGCGCUACUCAAACGUGGAAUAUGUCUUGUAUUUGGGGUGGCAUUGUUGAAGAUAGUCUUAGAGGGCUCAACCGUAAUACUAAUCCGGACGCUGCCUGCUGCUGAACGUGCAGGGGAUCAGAAGCAUCAGCUUGAGCAUUCACUUCGUGAGGAAAAGCCGCCUGUGUGCUGCUGUCCUACCAAUCUACAGUACCAUCCUAACCCAAACUCCUGUAGUCCUGUCGAUACACAGGCCUAGUAGGAGGAGGGACAUAAAUUGCAAUCCGACAAUUCAGUUCCUCACCCUAGAUCUAGCAGCUCACGAGUCACGACACAGCAUCGCUGCAGGAAUAUUUUCAAUUAAAAAUCUGAAUUUGAUUUGAAUAGUCGCAACUAAUUUCACACAAAGAAAGGACGACAUAGGAAUGAAAACGCUCUCGUGCAUGACCAAGUCCAAACAUGAAAGGAAAUACGUACAUUCAAUAUCAAUCCUAAUCUAGUUAGAGGCUUGGACUAGGGUUGACCCCACCAUAAGAUCGAGCUAGCUUAUCGCCAUGCAUUAAAUGAGAAAUUUUUGACAAAAAAAAAGAAUCACGUCUUUCAACCUGGCGUUCUGGUUGUGGAAUGUCACACUAUUUAUACGGUUGGUAAAUGUGAGUAAUUUAGAUUCAAAAUUAGAGUUACGUUACAUUAUCUUCCAUAUUGAGGAGUCUACUGAGCUUGAACAAGAGAAGGAGAUUGACAAGGUUGCUGAGGUUGAUCAGAAGGAGGAAAAAGGAGUGAAGUUGAAGAACACAUAAAUGGAAGCUGCUAUCAGUGCUUUGUUAAGAACUGUGAUAGGAUCUAAAUGGCUAGAGGGGGGGUGAAUAGCAUAUAAAAUUUACUUCAAAGCACUAGAGCAACUUGAUUAGUAAAUAAGUUUCCUUCUUCAAUCCUGGAAAGUUUGUGCUAUCAAAUACUUAUUUUAUCACAUGUAUCCAUCUUUUUUCUGUAAAAAAAUAAUAUAAAUAAACGCAAUAAAUCACUGGCAUGGAAUAACAUGAAGAUCAACUCUUGAGUUCAAGUGAAAUUGUGUAAACAAACCUUUAGAUCUUUAUUGCUCAACUUUCGGAUGGCCUUUAAAGCCAUCUCUUUAGUUCUGAAAUUAAUAAAAGCAUAUGUCUUGUUAUCCCCCUUUCCUCGCAUUCGCACCUGCAGAAAAAAAGGGACUCUGAAUUGCAAAAGAAAAGAAAUGCAAAAACUAAACCAGAGAAAGUAGGCAGUACUCACUUCCACAACUUCUCCAACAGAUUCAAACAGUCGUUUGAGAUCUUCAGAAGAUACAUCAGAGGAGAGCCCCCCAACAUAAACUUCAGCUCCAUGAGGAAGAGAGCAUGCUUCUCUUUUUUAUUCUCAUCCUUCGGAUCAUCAUCCACCAUUUUACUUUCAUGAUUAGCAUCAACUUCACGCACACCUUCAAUUUUUUCAUCCUCCUCGUCCUCCUCCUCCUCAUCAUCAUCAUCAUUAUCAUCCUCUACCUCUUCAUACUCAACCUCCUCCUCAAUUUCUUCGUACUCAACUUCUUCCUCUUCCAUCUACCUCGUCAGGAUCAUCAAACUCCAAUUGGUCUUGUUUGACCAAUUCAAUUGAUUUGGUCGAAGCAGCAUUUCCUGUUCUCCUUGGCAUCUUCCAAAGCUCAAAGUUCCAAGGAAACUUGGAAAGAGCACAGGAACCAAUAAUAUUGGGGAGCAAAGUGAUAAUGUAUGGAUAGAAAGAAAAAAAUAACAGAAACAGCUAGAACAGAAGGUAUGUAAUAAUCUCAAACUGGAUUCAGCCAUGGGUAUCCACAUGGAAAAUGGAACCUCAAAGCAAGUGACUGUUAAGGGAUAAAUGCAGAGAUAGAAGAAUGCUCGGAUGGACACAGCAUGAAAGGUUUUCAAGAAUAUGAUAGCACCGUCAACAAGAGUAUGAAAAAGAGGAGCCAUCACUUUAGUUCUGAAAUUAAUAAAAGCAUAUGUCUUGUUAUCCCCCUUUCCUCGCAUUCGCACCUACAGAAAAAAAAAAGGGACUCUGAAUUGCAAAAGAAAAGAAAUGCAAAAACUAAACCAGAGAAAGUAGGCAGUACUCACUUUCACAACUUCUCCAACAGAUUCAAACAGUCGUUUGAGAUCUUCAGAAGAUACAUCAGAGGAGAGCCCCCCAACAUAAACUUCAGCUCCAUGAGGAAGAGAGCAUGCUUCUCUUUUUCAUUCUCAUCCUUCGGAUCAUCAUUCACCAUUUUACUGUCAUGAUUAGCAUCAACUUCACGCACACCUUCAAUUUUUUCAUCCUCCUCAUCCUCCUCCUCCUCAUCAUCAUCAUCAUUAUCAUCCUCUACCUCUUCAUACUCAACCUCCUCCUCAAUUUCUUCGUACUCAACUUCUUCCUCUUCCAUCUACCUCGUCAGGAUCAUCAAACUCCAAUUGGUCUUGUUUGACCAAUUCAAUUGAUUUGGUCGAAGCAGCAUUUCCUGUUCUCCUUGGCAUCUUCCAAAGCUCAAAGUUCCAAGGAAACUUGGAAAGAGCACAGGAACCAAUAAUAUUGGGGAGCAAAGUGAUAAUGUAUGGAUAGAAAGAAAAAAAUAACAGAAACAGCUAGAACAGAAGGUAUGUAAUAAUCUCAAACUGGAUUCAGCCAUGGGUAUCCACAUGGAAAAUGGAACCUCAAAGCAAGUGACUGUUAAGGGAUAAAUGCAGAGAUAGAAGAAUGCUCGGAUGGACACAGCAUGAAAGGUUUUCAAGAAUAUGAUAGCACCGUCAACAAGAGUAUGAAAAAGAGGAGCCAUCACUUUAGUUCUGAAAUUAAUAAAAGCAUAUGUCUUGUUAUCCCCCUUUUCCUCGCAUUCGCACCUACAGAAAAAAAAAAGGGACUCUGAAUUGCAAAAGAAAAGAAAUGCAAAAACUAAACCAGAGAAAGUAGGCAGUACUCACUUCCACAACUUCUCCAACAGAUUCAAACAGUCGUUUGAGAUCUUCAGAAGAUACAUCAGAGGAGAGCCCCCCAACAUAAACUUCAGCUCCAUGAGGAAGAGAGCAUGCUUCUCUUUUUUAUUCUCAUCCUUCGGAUCAUCAUCCACCAUUUUACUUUCAUGAUUAGCAUCAACUUCACGCACACCUUCAAUUUUUUCAUCCUCCUCGUCCUCCUCCUCAUCAUCAUCAUCAUCAUUAUCAUCCUCUACCUCUUCAUACUCAACCUCCUCCUCAAUUUCUUCAUACUCAACUUCUUCCUCUUCCAUCUACCUCGUCAGGAUCAUCUAACUCCAAUUGGUCUUGUUUGACCAAUUCAAUUGAUUUGGUCGAAGUAGCAUUUCCUGUUCUCCUUGGCAUCUUGCAAAGCUCAAAGUUCCAAGGAAACUAUUGAAAGAGCACAGGAACCAAUAAUAUUGGGGAGCAAAGUGAUAAUGUAUGGAUAGAAAGAAAAAAAUAACAGAAACAGCUAGAACAGAAGGUAUGUAAUAAUCUCAAACUGGAUUCAGCCAUGGGUAUCCACAUGGAAAAUGGAACCUCAAAGCAAGUGACUGUUAAGGGAUAAAUGCAGAGAUAGAAGAAUGCUCGGAUGGACACAGCAUGAAAGGUUUUCAAGAAUAUGAUAGCACCGUCAACAAGAGUAUGAAAAAGAGGAGCCAUCACUUUAGUUCUGAAAUUAAUAAAAGCAUAUGUCUUGUUAUCCCCCUUUCCUCGCAUUCGCACCUACAGAAAAAAAAGGGACUCUGAAUUGCAAAAGAAAAGAAAUGCAAAAACUAAACCAGAGAAAGUAGGCAGUACUCACUUCCACAACUUCUCCAACAGAUUCAAACAGUCGUUUGAGAUCUUCAGAAGAUACAUCAGAGGAGAGCCCCCCAACAUAAACUUCAGCUCCAUGAGGAAGAGAGCAUGCUUCUCUUUUUUAUUCUCAUCCUUCGGAUCAUCAUCCACCAUUUUACUUUCAUGAUUAGCAUCAACUUCACGCACACCUUCAAUUUUUUCAUCCUCCUUGUCCUCCUCCUCCUCAUCAUCAUCAUCAUUAUCAUCCUCUACCUCUUCAUACUCAACCUCCUCCUCAAUUUCUUCAUACUCAACUUCUUCCUCUUCCAUCUACCUCGUCAGGAUCAUCUAACUCCAAUUGGUCUUGUUUGACCAAUUCAAUUGAUUUGGUCGAAGUAGCAUUUCCUGUUCUCCUUGGCAUCUUGCAAAGCUCAAAGUUCCAAGGAAACUAUUGAAAGAGCACAGGAACCAAUAAUAUUGGGGAGCAAAGUGAUAAUGUAUGGAUAGAAAGAAAAAAAUAACAGAAACAGCUAGAACAGAAGGUAUGUAAUAAUCUCAAACUGGAUUCAGCCAUGGGUAUCCACAUGGAAAAUGGAACCUCAAAGCAAGUGACUGUUAAGGGAUAAAUGCAGAGAAAGAAGAAUGCUUAGAUGGACACAGCAUGGAAGGUUUUCAAGAAUAUGAUAGCACCGUCAACAAGAGUAUGAAAAAGAGGACAAUCAAAGAAGAUGCGCUGCUAGAGGUGCGAUGUGUAUCGCGAUUGGGGUGUCAUUGCAUUGCAGAUUUGCAGUUGGCGUGGCGUGACUACAGCCACGUGGUGAGGGGGCCUUUCGUUCUGGGUGCUCAAGGAUGCAGGAGAUGGGCGAAAAGUUGGUGCCACCACACCACACACAGUUAAAUUGUUACAGCAGUACACAGUAGUACGGAGUACGCUGCUCCAUUUAUUACUACUCGGUUUUUAGCGCGGAGGACCCUCCACUGUCUCACUAUGUCCUGUCUCCUGUGACGGAGCAAUUGAAUGAAGUACUCCCGCCGUCUAAAAAAAAUCAUGUAAAUUUUUAAUUAAUAAUAUAUAUAUGGCUCUAAAUCAAUUUAUUAUAAAAAUACAUUUCGUAAUUAAUCUUAUUUGAUAUUAUAAAUAUUGAUAAUUUUUUAUUUAAUUAGUCAAACUUAAGAUACUAAAAUGUGAGACUGUGUGCUAGAAUUGCAUUCUUUAGACUGUCUCCAAUAGGUGAUCCAUAAGGGCACCCAAACUUAAAAUGGGUCUCCGACAGUACUGUAUCGGUCUCCAACAAUCCAUUUUGGGUGUCAGGAGAGACACUACCUAAAUCUGAGUAUCCUCUCUCCUGAAGACCUAUUUGCAGAAAGGGUUCUUAUUUGGGUCUUAUUGUUGGACAAGACCAAAAAUGAGUAUUGAACCCUUUACCUGUAGCGCUACCCAAACGUGGAAUAUGUCUUGUAUUUGGGGUGCCAUUGUUGAAGAUAGUCUUAGAGGGCUCACCGUAACUAAUCCGGACGCCGCCUGCUGCUGAACGUGCAGGGGAUCAGAAGCAUCAGCUGGAGCAUUCACUUCGUGAGGAAAAGCCGCCUGUGUGCUGCUGUCCUACCAAUCUACAGUACCAUCCUAGCCCAAACUCCUAUAGUCCUGUCGAUACACAGACCUAAGAAAUGAUUUUUUUUUUCCAAAUGUUGAUGCCUAUUUUAAAAAUUGUUGAAUCUAAUCUUACAAGUUGUUGAAGUAUGAUAUAAAAAAUGUUGAAUGGUGUAUUUUUUUAACAAAAUGUUGAGCUAUGUUUUAGGAAAUGUCGAAUCUACUGUUUUCAUAUGUUGGUCUAACUUUUAGGAAAUGUUGGAUCUGUUCGAUUGAAAUGCUGGUUUAAGCAUCUAAUUUGGGUUUAAUGGGCUUUUAAAGCCAUGAAGCUUAACUAGCUACCACAAGCUACAUAGGAGCCCCCACCACCCAAUGCAGCAUUUUGGUCGACGUGGGAGGAACGACAAAUAUUAGAUGUGGUUAAGCUAUUGAGAAUUGGCGCAAUGGGCGCGGUGCGGAAAUAUGACAUUUUUUUUUGAACUGUCACCUGUGGGGAUUUGAAUCCCCACCUGAAUAUAUAUUGAUAUAUCGUGGCAUAAUCACAUCAACAACUUGAGUCUUCUUGGCAGGUGCCUCUUUGCAGCCAAACUAGCUCUAUCUAAAUUGUAGGUCGCAUGAUGCGGUUUGCAAGCUCAUACCGAUUACCGAAGAUGCUGGGCUAAGGCCCAUUGUGUUGUUGCCGUCGUUUCUGUACAUGUGGAUGUGGUACGUAGACUUUUCCGUCGAGGACGAAGCGGCCCGGAGCAACUCUGUGCACGAUGCGCCCCCUUAUCAGCCCGAAGUAGUAGGCAUCGUCGUUCCGGUCAAACAGAGUGAAGUUGCAGAAAAAUAACUUGAAAUGAGUACGAGACAGAAGAAAUAAUUAAUACAAGAAGAUGUCAUUUUCUGCCAACUUAAAAGCUUGCCUACUGUAGAUAUGCGUUUCUCAAAAUUUCGUUGGUGUCUGAUCGUUUUUUUUGGGCUUAUUUCGGCUGAUUUCGGCUGAUUCAAUAGUGGUAUGUGAGAGAGAAUAAGCUGAAACAAGCUGAAACAAGCUGAGACUAGACAAGCAGAACAGGGUAUCAUCUUGAUGUCUUAAACGAAUACUUACCAAGUGGGAUGCGUGAAAACUGAAAAGGAAAGCAUAAUGUGCAAGUUGAUUGUCUUAAACAGAUGGUACUAGUUGAGUUCUUGAAACUCGCAGAGGGCAUCAGGCCAUGCCUGCCGAGUAAAAAAAACACUUUGUUAAAAGUUGAAAGUGUACUUGUUGGACAUGUAGAGUAUUAUUAGUAGUUCAACUAUGGCCAUAUAUCACAAAAAAGUUGUGUCAUGCAUUGUUCUCACACAAAAAUUGUUUGCUCAACAGAUGGAAAAUGCAGGCAUAAUGCUGAAGAGGGAUGGGAUUCAGAGUGGUUUUGGUGAUCUUACGACAGAUUGAGCGGAUGGUAUCUUUGCCAAGGACGACGACAUCAGCCAAAUUCCCUGCAGAGCAAAACACGCAUGAAAAUCAAGCUUGGCACGAGAAGGGAACGAAAGAUCGCAACAACGGGCCGGGGCACAUCACAGGAAUAAAGAACACUCCAAGGUACCACCUUUGGAGUCGGGGAAGACAACCGACAUGACUCUGGCGGUUAUCAGUGACCUUGACGGAGAAAUCCCCCUUCUUGAGCUCGUACACGCCGACCAUCUUCCUCGCGCGCCGGCGCUGGUGGCCAGCGCGGAGGCCGCCACGAGGCAUAGCAGUGCGAGUAGCACCUCACCUCGCGCCAUCGACGUACGGCCAGCAAUGUCUAGCAGAAGCAGAGCUGCAUCGGAUCGAGCAAGUGAUCGAUGAGCAGUACAGCCAAGGAGAAGGCCAGAGGUGGGCAGGCAUGUAGCUGCCGAGAUAUAUCUGCAAGAGAUGGGCACCCAUCACCUAACAUCAGUUGUGUGGGGCGAUGGCGCUGGAGAUGUAUUGGACGGGCUUGAAGCGGCUGUUCUGUUCCUCCUCCGGAUGUGUUAGUAGGAGCUAGUCAAAUGGUUGUGGCUGUGCUGGGCCAUCACGCACGAACACGGACGCUGCCGGUUUUGUGUAUGAUUCCCAUUCCCACGAUUAGCCUCGCCCGAUAGCUCCCCCUCCCCGUGCCCAUGAGCCCAUCCGAUCCGAUCCAUCAUCGUCUUUGUCCUGUGAGCCUGUGACUGUCAGCCGCGGUUAGAACCGUGGCCUGACUGACAUGUCACCGUCACCAUGAGCGUCGUGGCCGCACCUGCCACCGAGGCCAGCGGGCACACGGUGGACUUCUUUCUUUUAUGAGUUUUUUGUCUCUAGAACACCACGAAAGCGUGAUUUUGUGCCAAACACACUACAUUGUUUAUUUUAGGCUGCUGGACAUUGCAAACAUGAGGCUUUUGUACGCUGCACAUUACCACUGUUAAAAAAUGCUUACAUGGUCUGGGUACGUACAUAGUGCCACAUGAAAGACCAAAAUGACCUCACUUAUAAUGGAGAUAGAUUCUGGGCGCCAGCCCCAUUCCAGGAACAUUUCACAUGUUGGGUACAACAUCAAAUGACAGUAUUUAUGCACAACAUCAAAUAGACAAUAUGAAACAAAGUUUAAUUAAACCGGCAUAGCUUAAUAAGUGCAUGGCCUCACACGUCAGAGCACAACUUAAUAACUUGUCACAAACUAAAGUCUUCUCUAUGUGAGCAGCAUCUCAUAGAGGUGCAAAAAACCUUAACAUGUCCCAAAUUUACAUCAAUUUGGCAUGUCAAAAUGCUUCUUCCAGUUUUCUUGUACACGCAUACACAAAUAUCAGAUCUGCAUGAGAUGGUCUAGUGCCAUUAUACCAUGCACCUCGGCUUCCUCUAUUGCAAGUUUCCUAGCACGGCUGCAAAAAAUAGCAUGGAUUAGGAAAAAAUAUUAGUUUGAAUCUCAUCAAGUUUGGUUGAAGCUCAUCAAGUUAAAUGAAAAAAAUACUUACUGCCUAGUCAGUGCUCCAGGACUACAGUUAAUCUCAUCAAGUUUCCUAGCUCGGCUAUGAAAGAUGGCAAUAAGUAAGGAGAAUUUUAUUUUCAAUUUCAUCAACUUUGGUUGCUGAUAUUAGUUAAAUGAAAAAUAAUUACCUCCUAGUCAGUGCGCCAGGACUACAGUUAAGGUCAAAUGGGCUUGAUGGUCCCCGCAGCAGACUAAGUGAUGUACUGGGGCUAGUUGCUGCUGCUACUUCUGUGAUGUCUUCCCUCGUAGUCCUCUUUCCCUUAGGUGUACUUGUAUUGGUGGCUACCUCCUCUGUUAUGAAUUCAUUUUGCUUCUUGGCUCUCUUUCUCUUAGGUUUUGGUGGUGCUGGUGGUGGAGCAUCUGAGUCGUACACAAUCUCAUUGCAAGUUUUCUGAGUGUGCCCAAAUUGACCACAUCUCUUGCAUUUCUUCCUAUUCUUGUUGCCUCCUUCCUCAGCUCCUUUCACUCUCCUUGUCCUUGGUCUACCUACUGCCCUCUUGAGUAUUGGAGGCCAUAGCUUGAACCCUAUGUUCACUUGAGGCCAUAGUGUCUUGUCUAGUAUAGGUUCAAUCCAACCUUCAUAUGCAGCUUUGAACCUAGAUAUAGAGUAACAAUUGUCAACAUAAUCCUCCAACUCUAGACCCCUGUAAGAGCAUAUCAAAUUGAUUGCAUGGGUGCAUGGUAGACCAGUGAUUUGCCAUUUAUUGCAAGUACAUGUUCUUUUUUCUAGGUUCACAGCAUGUCUCCAAGGAGUCAAGUCCUUGUAAACACCACUUAUCUCUGCUGUGUGUCCGACACCUUUGUGGAUUGAAUACCCAACCAAUCCUCUACUUUUUGCAUUGAGGUCCUUCACAAUGUGUGGAAGCACUUUACUCUUGAGCUUCAUGGCAAGUCUUCUCCUUUGAAAUAGCUUAUCCAUGAUUUUUUGUCUAAUUCUAUCCAUUAGAUCUAUCACAGGAAGCGACUUCUCAUGUUUAAUCCAAUUGUUGAAGACUUCAGCAAUGUUAUUGGUCACAUAAUCACACUUGCUGGCUGUAGAGAAGUAACAUCUUGCCCACAAGUGCUUGUGAUUAUCCUCAAUCCACUUCAAUGCUUUUGGCGAUGAUUUCUUCAUGAUAUUGUAGUGCAUGUCAAACAAAUAUUUCAUGUAAACUCUUGCUGCUGGCCACAGAUUCUUCUCAAAGACUUUACCAUGAAAUCUCUUUUUGAAAUUUUUGUACAAAUGUCUCAUGCAUUCCCUGUGCUCUACUCCAUUGGUGAAGACAUUGGUCACCGCUAUGUUCCCAGCAUCAGUUGAGAUAACAAGUCCAGGUGGGGAUCCAACUGCCAAUGCUAGGUUACCCAUGAACCAUCCCCAAUUUUCCUUGGUCUCUGAUCCAAAUACUCCAUAUGCCACAGGGAACAUCCAGUUAUGUCCAUCAAUACCUAUGGCAGAAGCUAGUUGCCCCUUCCACCUUCCAGUAAGAGCCGUGGAGUCAAUGCCCAAGUAUGGUCUACAUCCAUUUUUGAAUCCGUCUAUACAUGGCUUCAAAGCAACAAACAUCUUGCUAAAUCUGAUCUUGGACCCAACCUUUUCAUAAUCUAUCUUAACUAUACUUCCAGGAGACUUCCUUUCUAUCUCUUCCUUGAAUGCAAAAGCGUGUUCAAAACUAUCCUCCCACUUGCCCAAAAUCUCAUCAAUAGCUAGCUCCUUGCCAUUGUAGACAAUCCAGUAUGAUAAUUGGAUCAAGUACUUCUCUUCCAGCUUCUUCUUUAAAGCAGCAGGGCCAAUUGUUGGGUCUUCCCUGAGCCAUUGAACUACCCUAUCCCUAACCCAAAAUUGGUCAACCAUACAAUUGCUCUCCAGUUUGCUUGUGCUUUUACAGUAGUGCUUGUUAGGUAUCUUCUUAAUCUAAAAAAACAAUGACAUAAUUUAAAGGAGUUGGCUAUAAAUUAAGAAACAGAAAAUUAAGGAACAAAAUUAAGAAACAUAAAUAAAGGAACACAGAAAUAGGUACCAUCCAUGUCCUUCCAUCUUGCAGUUGUGAUGCAUGUAUUCUCCACUUGCACUUUUUAGCCUUACAAUAUCCUCUGUACCUCUUGGCUUCACUAUAAGGAGCUGCAAUUUCAAUCUCAUUUAGAAUAGCAUAUUGCCUAAUUGCUCUUUUAAAGGUUUGUCCAUCCUCAAAUGUCACACCAACUUCAAUCUUUGGAUUUUCUAAGUCAGUUACAUGGUCAACAAUCUCACAGCCUUGUUCACCAUCAACAGCACAAUCAUCGUUGUCUUCAUCAGAAUCAGGAAUGCAAUCAAAUUCAUUUUCAUCAUCAGAAAUCAAGUCAACAUGAAAGACCUUCUCAUCAUUUACACCAACAUACUCAAUUUCAUCGUUUUCGCCCCAAGGAUCAUCAUAUGUAGGGUUUUCCUUAGUCCCAGAUUUAAUAACAGGAUCAGAGAGAUCUGCCAGGGUGGUACAUGCGCUCUGUUGUGUGGGUUGUGCAUGCAAAUCUGCUUCUACACAAGAAACAUAAUGUAUGCUCUGUUCUAUGGGUGGCUGAUGAAUGCCGAGCCCGAGCCUACAAGCACAGAUGUAAUCAACUCCUAUAAGGAUAUUGCUAAAGCCCAAAUAUAUUUCUAACGAACCCUAGGCCCCCAAAUCUCAAUGAACCCAUGCCAUGUUCUGAACCCUAGAUCCUCAAAUCACUUGGGGAAAAUUUGAAUCUUACCCGUCAGGAACCCAGGACAGGUCUGACACCUUCUGUGGGGAGUCAUCGCUGCAUAGUCGCUCCACUCCAAGACCGGGGAAUGAGGACCAAGUCGCAACCAUCAAGCCUGGUCUCUUAGUGCAGCUCGCGGAUGGGGAGAACUUUGCCGGAGCUAAGUUGCAUCAGUGGCAGGAGGCAUGGUGUGUGUGAUUGGUGGCGGUUGGUGAAGAGUCGUCGGAGAUUAUGGCAAGUCAAGAAAAAUUGCAGAGGCGGCGGCGAGAUUUUUUACGACUACAGGAUGGUGCCGUGAAUAAUCUGGAUAGGAUGUGGCUGCCAGCCGAUGUGCAGGUGGUGUAUCUGAAGGGGGCAUUUUGGUCUUCCUAGGCUACGCCAUCCACCUUUCCGGCCAGGAAAUCAUUUUUUAAUGAAGCCGAUGUGUAGUAGACAAAUUGAUGCCUUUUGCAGUGUUCAGGAGCCUAAAACGGCAAAUUGAGUGUGCUUGGCACAAAACCACGUUUUAGCAGUGUCCACCGGACAAAAAACUCUUCUUUUAUGGGCUAGGAUGUGGCCCGUGGACGCUAGGCCCAGUUACCAAGAUCAUCGGGCCAAGAAAGGAGGAGAUUUUUUUUUGAAACGGUCGGCAGGAGCUCUACCGAACUUAUAUUGAUAUGGAAGGGAAAAGGCACUGUACAAAACAAUCACAAAAAAAGGCUCAAAAAAAUAAACUAAGCCUCAGACAAGGGAGAUAGGAAUGAUCUCACAAAGUUUUUUUUGGCUCCUGCUACACACCAGAGUCUUGGCUCUUCCUUUAUCUUGCCAAUAAGUGCUUCCGUUGUGUUACGGCGGUGAUAAAAAAUUCUCGCAUUUCUCUCUUUUCAGAUCUCCCACGCUACUAAGGGCAAGUACAUUGGUGUCGUCUAAUAGGCGGUCUCAUGCAUUGACACGUAAUCCUGAGACGAUUCAACAGGUAACCUAUACAAUGGGUUGUCCUAUAAGUUGUCUGGUAGUUGUAUAUAAUUCCUUAAUUUGUGCAUAAGAAAAAUAAAAUAUUAUAAGUUGCAUGGCAACAAUAACUCAUACAAUGGUUGUUAAGUUGUCUCGUAGUCCUACAAUUUAGCUCAUGAGGUGGUUAUUUCGUGAAGCAACGAUCUCUUUCUCUUUCCUCGCUCUCUCUCAUCCACAUCAUCAAAAAUCCUACGUGGCACUGCAUGAGACGACCUACGAGACCGCUGACGUGUAGCAACGUACUCUCUAAGGGCCAGUAUCAAUGCUCAGUUUUGCAAUGGCUCCGUUCCCGCCCUCCCGCACACCGUCGCGCAACUGUGUGAUUUCGGCAUGGCAGCGUCAGAAGCGCUCACAGCCGCACCCUACCGUCCGCGUGUUGCCGAAAGGGCAGGUGGGCGUCGUGGCCUGCCUAGCAGGUCCGAUUCUGGCAUGUAUUCUAAGCUACACGGUGUGUUGAUCUAAUGUUCUGGUGUGAUUUGCUUGCUCGGUGUUGGAGGUGUCAGUGCUACUACUGCAUGCACUUUAGUUGUUCGAUGAAAUACCUGUUCAGAUGAUUGCUACAUUUGCAAUUGGGCUGGGAUGCGUUAGGCCUUCUUUGAGCCAAAUAAUUAAAUCAAGUUUAAUUAGGUGAUGUGACCUUCUUUGAACAAACAAGUUGUGUGAUUUACUUUGUUGUACGAACCAUGCGGUUCAAGCUGAUUGCUACUUUUGUUGUUCGAAUUUUAACAGUUCAAAUAACAACUCUUCAGAGAUACAUAGACUAUAACAAUGUAACCGUUGAAAAUAUAGAGAUGAAUUUUAUGGGGAUAGCUAAAUAGAGAUAUAGUGUCUGAUUAAGUGAGAAUGUUGGACAUAGUCUAAGAGGGGCAAAGAUGGAGAACCAGAUACGCGUAGAAUUCUAGUAUUAAGUAUUUUGACACCUUAUUCUUUGACUCGUGGGCAUCGAAUAAACAAAUAAACGAUACGGAGUGAGUACAAAUCACGUUGGAUCAUCCUUUGGCUAAGGAUGCUUUGCUUGUAAAAAAAAUCAAUAGAUAAUAUCCUUUCGCUUGGGUCCUUUUGAGAAGUUAGGAAAAUCAUCGGCGUGUGGCAUUAGCAGCGUCAAUUUUCAAAGAAAAGACAAGGGCUAAGAAACUCGGUGGGCUUACGGUUUUCUAGAACAUUCCUACUCACUUGGAAAGAUUGCUAGAUAAUGUUUGCAUAACAUUUUGUUUCUAACAAUAUUGGUCAACCACGAGUGUUUUUUUUUUGCAGAUGGCUUCUCCGAAACAAUCCGAGGACCACGCUCCAAAUAUAGAUCUAAGUAUAACCACAAGCACAAAUAGUGGCAAUAUUAGAAAUGGCAUAGGGUCAAUGACAUCGAGCGACCAGCCACUACUCAUUGACCCUAAAGAACGUAAGAGGCAACGAGAAAGAAAUAGGUAUGUGCGAAUGUCUCACGAGCAAAAGGAUGAAUUACUAAAAAACACCAUGAAGCUCAUCAGAAAAAGAAGGUUAUAGCCAACCUUAUUGAUGUUGAACACUAGUCAGAUGGGAUUAGAGCAGUUUGUGCAAGAAAAACUACAAUCCACGUCCGAGCAAAUUGUUGCAAGACGUGCAAAUGCUAGGGCACGUUAUGCAAAUUUAAAACCCGAGCAGAGGCAGGCGAUACGUGAUCGUCAGAAGUUUCUCUAUACAAAAAUGACAUCUAAGAAAAAACAUGCAAAGAGAAAACCGUGAAAAAGUACGACGUGAGAUGCGACACAACACUCCGAGUAAGAAUUCCAUUGCCAUGAAGAAUCCUUUGUAUAACUCAUCGGAUUCAGAUUGAAAUGUAUUUAUAGAUAAUAUGUUCAUUUUCAACAAUAUGAAGUAUGGUAUGAGAUUGGGGACACGUAUAUUUACCCAAGAUAUGAACUUAUGAUUCUACGGUGUACGAGGAUCCUAUAUUUCUCAAAGAAAAAUAAUAUUACCUAGGAUCAUGAUCGUGCCAAAAUUGGCUUCUGUUUUUUCUUUGAUCAUAUUCAGCUAAUAUUAAUAAACAUAGUUUGUGCACAAAUUUGAAGCCUGUUUUUGAUAAUAACUGGCAUGGAUUAUAAAUCAAGUCAUCCUUGUGUGUGUUUGGUCAUGUUUGUUAAGCAAGGGGUAGGUAAGGAAUUUUUUGCUACCCGUUGCAACGUACAGGCAUAUUUGCUAGUCUAUUAUCAUUUUCUAAAAUCUAGCCAAAUAAAAUAGUCUUGUUCAUUUAUUUUUCUUUCAAUAAUCCUCCUUGCAAUUCUGCUGCAACUUAUGAGUUUUCCUCCCCAUCCCUCCCAUAUGUUACUGUUCCGCUUAUUAGGAUAACAAAACACUCAACCAUAGUGCAUUAUAUAAUCAAAUCAAAAUACAUUUUGGUUACUUAUAUUUUCUAAAUGUAUGGCUCCACUUUAUGUUUCGCACCAGGGCCUCCGAAUCAUAAGUACGUCCUGAUUGUCUGCCACCCAAAUCAAUCCGUGAGAAGCCAUGAAUCGAUUAUAGAUUUCAAAAAAAAAGAAGCCAUGAAUCAUUUAUGAUGCUAUCAUAUCAUACCCGGUUCGUAAGACAAACAUGCACGAGGGAUUAAGUAGACUAACCUCAAUAUAUACUUUACCCGACUAGACCCAAGGAGAUUCGAUAUAAACUAAAAUUAAAUGCAUGCAUCAAUGCAAAGAAAUUGGUUUGUUAUGACAUGAGAAAAAACAAAGCUAGAAAGAGUAAUAUGUUUGAAAGAAUACACCUAUACGAGUCCGACUGAAAAACAUUACAAUCUAUAAGACUUAGGUGAUCUUAGCCCGCUUAUAAAGAGACUAGGAAAUACAAUGUAUAUGCUCCACCCGCACACUAGGCUGGUACCAGUUAUAACUUUGAGUGGAACUUAUUCUUACACAACUUACAAUUUAAGGUGUAUUCCAUUUGUUUAAAUUGUGGAUUAGCGUAACUUGAAAGCUCUAGAUGAGAGAGUAGUGUGACGCGGCCACCCAACACAUUUGCCAGGUACUCACAGCCCAUAUGGAUAGCCCACCAAGGCCCAUGUCGUGCCCAGCACAUAUGGAAUUGUAAAAUAGUUUAACGAAUGUCUGACCGUUGUAAUAAAGAUUUAGUACCGAUGGCUCAUGUUUUUCAAUUCUAAUUCUAUUGUUUUUAAUUCCGAAAUUGGUUGUUUAUUAGUUGUAUUAGACAUGACUCUAUAGGUUUUUUGACCGUUAGAUCUUCAUAGAAUCUAACUGUAUAUUCUUCUCUUUUUAAGAUUAAUGUGGUAAUUUUUGAUCCUCUCGGCGAACUCUCGGUGAAUGUGGUGGCUUCUUUUAACACUAUUGUAUUAGGAUAAAUAACAGAUGAUCAACAGUGUAGAAAACAGAAUAAUCAGAAUCAGGCUGCCGGUAGAACUUGGAUAUGCCAACUUGACUUGCUCGUACUUUAUUUUUCCUGUCACGCAUCAUCGUCUUUCACCUCGAUGCCCCGUCUUCAUGCACUCGCCCUUGGUCUCUCACGUGCCAGGUGCUCCUGAACUCUGCCUCAGGAGGCUUUCCUUUCACACUGGAUCAGUAACUCUUUGAAACUCAAAAAUACGGCACAAACCGCCAUAACAAUUACGAGAACUUGAACGAUCCAUCUUGUUUACUUAUAAGUUAUCGUGUCCUGCAUUACAGAAAAGAUUGCCCAUGUAUCGACUUUGAGUUCAUAGCACAGAGAACUGCACGAGGCUAUCUCAUCUGAAUUACAAAGUAAGACAGAACGGAACAAUUUUUGUUCUAUUUUGAGAAGGGUUUCAAAGGAGGCAGGAGUGAUGCCAAUUUACAAAGAUAAAGAUAGGAGGCACAGUACAGAGUUUCAAGCAGGGUGGUUACAUCGGAUGAACAUAAUAAAAAUUUAAAAUCAAUCUCACAAUUAGAUUUAACACAUCACAGAUGGGCUCACCUCUAACAUUGCCAACCAAAAAAUGAUUACCGCACAGGCAACAUUGUCAACCAAAGACAAGGGCAGGUGGCAAUGGUCCAAUGGCUGGUGCCACUGAUCAACAUUUCACAUCAACACAAAAAAUGGAAAGUGCAGGUGAACAGUUGCAAACAAAACCAAAACCGAUUCUUGAAAAAAAAACACAAGCGAAACAGCCAGUUAAUUUGCUUUAUUUAACAACUUGAGUGGCAAAAGAUGCCCAUAUGUAGCAGAAGCCUCAAAAUAAGUUUGCAAGGCACAGGUAGCGUAUAUGCAUGGAAAGAUGGAAGGAGUACAACUAAAAUUGAUCCAGCAAAUGUUAAAUCAUCCUUGGAGGACUAUUAGGACCCAUCAUGAAAAUUCCAACUGCUGUGGCAGUCAACUUGUAGGAUCUUGCAUUCAGUAUCUGUGGGAGAGCUUCUCCUGCUCCUUGUACCACAUUGCAUACCUGCAUAGAUACAUAAAAAAGAAUCAGAAAUCAAGGAUGUCAAUUAUCUGAACUCUCAAAACCGCUAAUCAAAUCUGCUAAUUAAAUCUGACGAGGAAGUUCAGUUGUUCGACAUGUGUUGUUUUCAUAUUACAAAUGGAAAUACAAUUGUUCAAACAGCAUCUUGUGAACUGUAGGAUACUUUCAUUCAGGCAAUCAAAUAGAACAGCACAAACACAGAUAUUAUUUCCAGUUUUCAGAUACUGAAUUUGAAGUGAAUUUUGCUGCCGUCUUCAGAAUUGGUGCGAAACUAUGCCACUUAUCAUCUGUGCAUUGCUAAGUCACAACAUGAGCUGAUUAUUCAAGGAGUUUUGGUGUUGAGUAAACAAACAAAUCUACACCAGCAUUGCCGUCAGAACUGGCAUGACAUUUAUGCUAAUAAUAAGAAUCAGUGUUAUAGCAUUGCACAGUUUGAGAUGAGUAUUGAGGGAGUUAUGUACAAAAAAAAUUGUACAUAAAAAAUGGCUAUAAUCCAAAGCACACAAAGAGGUUUCUCAAUUCUAUCAGAGCCGAAGCAUAGGGCACUUAUAACGUUGUACAAGAAUACUGAGAAUUACAAAAGCAUAUUAAGGCUAGUUCCUAAAUUUAACUAAUUGUGUUAACAGUUUGCCCUAGCAUUCAGAUUUAAAGCUACCACAAGAUCAGAGAGACUGAAUUUGCAUGCCAAUUACUUAUUGGACUUGAAAAUCGUACAAUCUAACUAUAAUGCUUUAAUUUAAAUACUUGAAAGUUCAGCCCAGAAAAAAAUAUUAGAUUAAGAUGAUCAUUGUAUGGCUAACUUGUUUGACCUAUCAAGCUACAACAUAAAAACAACCCUAACCACUACCUGAAUGCCCUACACAAUUAGCUUGGCAACGCUAACCAAUUAAAUCUGGUGCCAUUUCAUCGGACAUUGCUGGUGGAAGUAAUCAGAAAUGGAAGCAUGCAUCAACUAAGUAGCACAGUACAAGGGGCGUUUCACCCAGCAUCAAGACCUACAUAAGUAUGACAUGGCCGAAAACAAUGGUAAAUAAAUGACCACAUAAGUAUGUCAUGAGCGUUCCGAUUUCCAUAAUCAAACCCAGCAGACCAACGAAAUCAAACUCAUCAUCCACAACGAAACCACCCAACUAACAUUAAUUCCGCGUCCCAGCCCUACCAAAAUCAGGGCACAACAGAGGAGUGAAGCACCGCAAACAAUCAUGUGCAUUCUUCCCACGUAAAACGAGACUAAGACACGAGCAAUCCACCGAACCCUAACCGGAUCUCCCCGUCAGCCCGACCAGCACUCGAUCCGACCAGAUCUGCGUGUAGGGGAGGAAAGGCAGGCGAGCGAGCGAGCGCCGAGGGGGGAGCGGGGCCUUACUGGUAGGUGCCGACGACGGGGCCGAGGAGGAGCCCGGCGGAGAUCCAGUUCUCGGUGACCUUGUGGUGGAUCUUGGUGGUGAUGUCCUUCCACAGCCCCGGCAUCACCUUCUGCUGGAACGGCGAGAGCGAGUACACCACCGCCUUCAUCCGCACCGGAACCUUCCCCAUCCUUCCGCCGCGUCGCCGGCCGGCCGGACUUCCUCCUCGGGACGGGAUGCUUCGAUCGCCUCGCGCACGCCGAUGUGUGUGGGUGACUUCGGGAUC
rnacentral:lncRNA from 1 species